rnacentral:rRNA from 1 species
AAUGAGCCUACGAGUUACUCCUCUCUAGCAAGGUUAAAGAUUUAAGAUCUGGAUCCGAAGCGAAAGCAAGUCUGAAUAGGGCGUAUAGUUAGAGGGGGUAGACGCGAAACCUUGUGAUCUACCCAUGACCAGGUUGAAGUUCCGGUAACACGGAAUGGAGGACCGAACUGAUAAGCGUUGAAAAGCUUCCGGAUGAGUUGUGGGUAGGGGUGAAAGGCUAAUCAAACUGGGAAAUAGCUCGUACUCCCCGAAAUGUUUUUAGGAACAGCGUUGAGGUUGAGUCUUAUAGAGGUAGAGCUACUGAUUGGACAAGGGGGCUUCACCGCCUACCAAAUCCUGACAAACUCCGAAUACUAUAAGAUAUACUCAGCAGUGAGCCCAUGGGUGCUAAGUCCGUGGGCGAGAGGGAAAGAACCCAGACCAACAGCUAAGGU